rnacentral:lncRNA from 1 species
AACAAGUCCCCCGACUCCUCCACCAAGCUCCACCUCCAUUAAUUCCUCUCCAGCGGUAACACAAACACCACUCCCCCGUCCUCCUCUUUUUCUUUCCUCCUCCUCCCACACACCACCACCCAAAUUCCAGAUUUGAGACCCCCUGCUCCCUCCCUCCCUCCCCCUCCCCCUCCUCACCCACUCAAAGGGCACGGUGAAGCAGCAUCGUGGCAUCCGGGAGGCGCGCGAGCAUCAUCAAUCUGUACGCCUCCAUGAUCUCGGCGAGAGACACGAACAAGAGAGAAAGGCAGUUGCGAGUGCCACCAACUGUUCCUCUCCAGGCGUCGAACNNN